rnacentral:rRNA from 1 species
CCUACGGGAGGCAGCAGUGAGGAAUAUUGGUCAAUGGGCGGAAGCCUGACCCAGCCAAGUCGCGUGAGGGAUUAAGGCCCUGCGGUUCGUAAACCUCUUUUGCCGGGGAGCAGUGGUCCGGACGCGUCCUGACCGGGAGAGUACCCGGAGAAAAAGCAUCGGCUAACUCCGUGCCAGCAGCCGCGGUAAUACGGAGGAUGCGAGCGUUAUUCGGAUUUAUGGGGUUUAAGGGGUGCGUAGGCGGGCAUUUAAGCCGGCGGUCAAAUGUCGGGGCUCAACCCCGGCAUGCCGUCGGAACUGGGUGCCUUGAGUGGGCGAGAGGUAUGCGGAAUGCGUGGGGUAGCGGGGAAAUGCAUAGAUAUCACGCAGAACCCCGAUUGCGAAGGCAGCAUACCGGCGCCCUACUGACGCUGAGGCACGAAAGUGCGGGUAGCGAACAGGAUUAGAUACCCCAGUAGUC